rnacentral:rRNA from 1 species
UCUACGGGAGGCAGCAGUGGGGAAUAUUGCACAAUGGGGGAAACCCUGAUGCAGCGACGCCGCGUGAAGGAAGAAGUCUUUCGGUAUGUAAACUUCUAUCAUCAGGGAAGAAAAUGACGGUACCUGACUAAGAAGCCCCGGCUAACUACGUGCCCACAGCCGCGGUAAUACGUAGGGGACACGCGUUAUCCUGCUUUACUGGUUGUAAAGGGAGCGUAUGCGGUUCAGCAAGUCAGAAGUGAAAGCCCGGGGCUCAACUCCGGGACUGCUUUUGAAACUGUUGAACUAGAUUGCAGGAGAGGUAAGUGGAAUGCCUAGUGUAGAGGUGAAAUGCGUAGAUAGUAGGAGGAACACCAGUGGCGAAGGCGGCUUACGGGACUGUAAAUGACGCUGAGGCUCGAAAGCGUGGGGAGCAAACAGGAUUAGAUACCCCUGUAGUC